UACGUAGGGGGCAAGCGUUAUCCGGAUUUACUGGGUGUAAAGGGAGCGCAGGCGGUAUGGCAAGUCAGAUGUGAAAACCCAGGGCCCAACCCUGGGACUGCAUUUGAAACUGCCAUACUGGAGUGCCGGAGAGGUAAGUGGAAUUCCUGGUGUAGCGGUGAAAUGCGUAGAUAUCAGGAGGAAUACCGUUAGCGAAGGCGGCAAUCUGGCUGGAAACUGACGCUGAGGUGCGAAAGCGUGGGGAGCAAACAGG
rnacentral:rRNA from 1 species